rnacentral:rRNA from 1 species
UACAGAGGGUGCAAGCGUUAAUCGGAAUUACUGGGCGUAAAGCGUGCGUAGACGGUUGCAUAAGUCAGAUGUGAAAGCCCCCGGGCUCAACCUGGGAAUUGCAUUUGAGACUGUGUAGCUAGGGUGCGGAAGAGGGAAGCGGAAUUUCCGGUGUAGCGGUGAAAUGCGUAGAUAUCGGAAGGAACACCAGUGGCGAAAGCGGCUUCCUGGUCCAGCACCGACGUUCAGGCACGAAAGCGUGGGGAGCAAACAGG